CCUACGGGAGGCAGCAGUGGGGAAUAUUGCACAAUGGGGGAAACCCUGAUGCAGCGACGCCGCGUGAAUGAAGAAGUAAUUCGGUAUGUAAAGCUCUAUCAGCAGGGGAGAAAAUGACGGUACCUGAGUAAGAAGCCCCGGCUAACUACGUGCCAGCAGCCGCGGUAAUACGUAGGGGGCAAGCGUUAUCCGGAUUUACUGGGUGUAAAGGGAGCGUAGACGGCAGUGCAAGUCUGGAGUGAAAGGCGGGGGCUCAACCCCCGGACUGGUAGGGAAACUGUACGGCUGGAGUGCAGGAGAGGGAAGUGGAAUUCCUAGUGUAGCGGUGAAAUGCGUAGAUAUUAGGAGGAACACCAGUGGCGAAGGCGGCUUACUGGACUGUAACUGACGUUGAGGCUCGAAAGCGUGGGGAGUAAACAGGAUUAGAUACCCCUGGUAGUC
rnacentral:rRNA from 1 species